GACAGAGGAUGCAAGCGUUAUCCGGAAUGAUUGGGCGUAAGCGUCUGUAGGUGGCUUUUAAGUCCGCCGUCAAAUCCCAGGCUCAACCCUGGACAGGCGGUGGAAACUACCAAGCUGGAGUACGGUAGGGCAGAGGGAAUUUCCGGUGGAGCGGUGAAUGCGUAGAGAUCGGAAAGAACACCAACGGCGAAAGCACUCUGCUGGCCGACACUGACACUGAGAGACGAAAGCUAGGGGAGCGAAUGGGAUUAGAUACCCGUGG
rnacentral:rRNA from 1 species